rnacentral:rRNA from 1 species
UGGUCGGCCUGAUGGGGUAGUAGAUAAGCGAUGGGGUGACGCAGGAGGGUAGCUCAGCCCAGGCGAUGGUUGUUCCUGGGGUAAGCAUGUAGCCCGCAUCAUAGGUAAAUCCGUGGUGCGUUAAGGGUGAGAUGUGAUGCCGAGCCAUUGUGGUGAAGUGAGUGAUCCCAUGCUGCCGAGAAAAGCCUCUAGCGAUGUGUGACGGCGGCCCGUACCCCAAACCGACUCAGGUGGUCAGGUAGAGAAUACUAAGGCGAUCGGGUGAACUGUGGUUAAGGAACUCGGCAAAUUGCCCCCGUAACUUCGGGAGAAGGGGGGCCACGUCCGGUGAACGUCUUUACGGCGGGAGCUGGGGGUGGCCGCAGAUACCAGGGGGAAGCGACUGUUUACUAAAAACACAGGUCCGUGCGAAGUCGUAAGACGCUGUAUACGGACUGACGCCUGCCCGGUGCCGGAACGUUAAGAGGACCGGUCAACCUUUCGGGGUGAAGCUGAGAAUCUAAGCGCCGGUAAACGGCGGUGGUAACUAUAACCAUCCUAAGGUAGCGAAAUUCCUUGUCGGGUAAGUUCCGACCUGCACGAAUGGCGUAACGACUUCCCCACUGUCUCAACCACAGACCCGGCGAAAUUGCAGUACGAGUAAAGAUGCUCGUUUCGCGCAGCAGGACGGAAAGACCCCGGGACCUUCACUACAGCUUGGCAUUGGCGUUUGGAGCGUCUUGUGUAGGAUAGGUGGGAGACUGUGAAACUCACACGCCAGUGUGGGUGGAGUCAUUGGUGAAAUACCACUCUGGUCGUUUCGAGCGUCUAACCCGCACCCGUGAAUCCGGGUGGGGGACAGUGCCUGGGGUAGUUUAACUGGGGCGGUUGCCUCCUAAAAGGUAACGGAGGCGCCCAAAGGUUCCCUCAGCCUGGUUGGUAAUCAGGUGGCGAGUGCAAGGGCACAAGGGAGCUUGACUGUGAGACGGACGUGUCGAGCAGAUGCGAAAGCAGGGCCUAGUGAUCCGGCGGUGGCAUGUGGAAGCGCCGUCGCUCAACGGCUAAAAGGUACCCCGGGGAUAACAGGCUGAUCUUCCCCAAGAGUCCAUAUCGACGGGAUGGUUUGGCACCUCGAUGUCGGCUCGUCGCAUCCUGGGGCUGGAGUAGGUCCCAAGGGUUGGGCUGUUCGCCCAUUAAAGCGGCACGCGAGCUGGGUUUAGAACGUCGCGAGACAGUUCGGUCCCUAUCCGCUGCGCGCGCAGGAGAUUUGAGAGGGUCUGUCCCUAGUACGAGAGGACCGGGACGGAGGAACCUCUGGUGUGCCAGUUGUCAUGCCAAUGGCACGGCUGGUUGGCUACGUUCGGACGGGAUAACCGCUGAAAGCAUCUAAGCGGGAAGCCUUCCUCAAGAUGAGAUCUCCCACCCCUUCGUGGGUGUAAGGCCCCCAGCUAGACCACUGGGUUGAUAGGCCAGAAAUGGAAGCACCGCAAGGUGUGGAGUUGACUGGUACUAAUAGGCCGAGCGGCUUG